UUUUUGUUCUUUUGUAAUGGCAUAUUUUUUCAGUUCCAUAAAGUUACGUUCAUUUUUAUUGAACCAAAUGUAAUUCCAUACAUCACCCACAGUAAGAGACUUUUGGAUUGCAAUGUCAUGGUUUUCAUAGAGACAUGGCUACACAGCGACGUACCCAAUAAUGCUAUUGAGCUAGCUGGACACUACACACUCCGGGCAGAUAGGACAGCAGAUGACUCCGGCAAGACAAGAGGCGGCAGAUUGUACAUUUAUGUUAACAAAGCUUGGUGUACGAACACUGUCAUUGUUGGGAGACACUGCUCAGCUAACCUAGAGUUUCUUAUGGUUAAGUGUAGACCUUUUUAUCUGCCGUGGGAGUUCACUUCCACCAUUAUAACUGCAGUCUAUAUUCCACCGGAUGCUAAUGCCAAGCUUGCUAUGAACGAACUGCAUGUGGCCAGUAGUAAACAACAUACUGCUCACCGAAAGGCUGCUUUUAUUGUCACAGGUGAUUUUAAUCACUCCAAAUUAAAGACAGUGCUUCCCAAUUUCCAUCAGCAUGUUUCCUGCCACACUAGAGGAGACAAAACUUUGGAUCAUGUUUACACAAACAUUGAUGGACCUUACAUCGUGACCCCCCCACCCCCACCUGGGACAGUCUGAUCACCUUUAUUUGUUUCUCACCCCUAAGUAUUCACCCCUCAUCAACCGUGUAAAGCCAUAAGUGAGGACCAUCAAAGUGUGGCCAACUGGAGCAGACUCUUUACUUCAGGACAGAUUUCAAUACACAGACUGGAGUAUGUUUGCUUCUCAGGCUGCCUGUGGUUCUCACAUGGACAUUGAUAUCUAUACCUCCUCAGUACUGGAUUACAACUGUGGCUUCUGAUUAGGGCUAGAUAUCUCUGUGGGAGACCGACUGAAAGGUGGACCAUGAAGAGAGAGAACUCAUCGAUGAGCUGCAGAGACUGACACUGUCAAAAUAAAUUCUUCACUCCUCGUAGCUGUCCUUGCUCUGGUCACAACUUUAUGGAACUAUUCUUUAAAAAAGUUUUCCAUUAUAUUACAGUGGUAUACUUAAUGUGUUAUAUCAUAACAAUAAAAUUUA
ensembl:lncRNA